rnacentral:rRNA from 1 species
AGUCAAGUAAUUAAGUGCAUGUGGUGGAUGCCUUGGCAGUCAGAGGCGAUGAAAGACGUGAUAGCCUGCGAAAAGCUCCGGGGAGGCGGCAAAUAUCCUUUGAUCCGGAGAUGUCUGAAUGGGGGAACCCACCUACUUUAAGGUAGGUAUUGCAACAUGAAUACAUAGUGUUGCAAGGCGAACGAGGGGAAGUGAAACAUCUCAGUACCCUUAGGAAAAGAAAUCAAUUGAGAUUCCCUCAGUAGCGGCGAGCGAACGGGGAUCAGCCCAUUAAGUUAUGUGUGUUUUAGUGGAACGCUCUGGGAAGUGCGAACGUAGAGGGUGAUAUUCCCGUACACGAAAGGGCACACAUAAUGAUGACGAGUAGGGCGAGGCACGUGAAACCUUGUCUGAAUAUGGGGGGACCAUCCUCCAAGGCUAAAUACUCCUGACUGACCGAUAGUGAACCAGUACCGUGAGGGAAAGGCGAAAAGAACCCCUGUGAGGGGAGUGAAAUAGAUCCUGAAACCGCAUGCAUACAAGCAGUGGGAGCACCUUCGUGGUGUGACUGCGUACCUUUUGUAUAAUGGGUCAGCGACUUAUAUUCAGUAGCAAGGUUAACCGUAUAGGGGAGCCGUAGAGAAAUCGAGUCUUAAUAGGGCGUUUAGUUGCUGGGUAUAGACCCGAAACCAGGCGAUCUAUCCAUGAGCAGGUUGAAGGUUGGGUAACACUAACUGGAGGACCGAACCCACUGUCGUUGAAAAGCCAGGGGAUGACUUGUGGAUAGGGGUGAAAGGCUAAUCAAGCCUGGUGAUAGCUGGUUCUCCCCGAAAGCUAUUUAGGUAGCGCCUCGGACGAAUACCAUAGGGGGUAGAGCACUGUUUCGGCUAGGGGGUCAUCCCGACUUACCAAACCGAUGCAAACUCCGAAUACCUAUGAGUACUAUCCGGGAGACAGACUGCGGGUGCUAACGUCCGUAGUCAAGAGGAAAACAAUCCAGACCGCCAGCUAAGGCCCCAAAAUCAUAGUUAAGUGGGAAACGAUGUGGGAAGGCAUAGACAGCUAGGAGGUUGGCUUAGAAGCAGCCACCCUUUAAAGAAAGCGUAAUAGCUCACUAGUCGAGUCGGCCUGCGCGGAAGAUGUAACGGGGCUAAAA